rnacentral:rRNA from 1 species
GAUGAACGCUGGCGGCGUGCCUAAUACAUGCAAGUCGAGCGAACAGAUGAGGAGCUUGCUCCUCUGACGUUAGCGGCGGACGGGUGAGUAACACGUGGAUAACCUACCUAUAAGACUGGGAUAACUUCGGGAAACCGGAGCUAAUACCGGAUAAUAUGUUGAACCGCAUGGUUCAAUAGUGAAAGACGGUUUUGCUGUCACUUAUAGAUGGAUCCGCGUCGCAUUAGCUAGUUGGUAAGGUAACGGCUUACCAAGGCAACGAUGCGUAGCCGACCUGAGAGGGUGAUCGGCCACACUGGAACUGAGACACGGUCCAGACUCCUACGGGAGGCAGCAGUAGGGAAUCUUCCGCAAUGGGCGAAAGCCUGACGGAGCAACGCCGCGUGAGUGAAGAAGGUCUUCGGAUCGUAAAACUCUGUUAUUAGGGAAGAACAAAUGUGUAAGUAACUAUGCACGUCUUGACGGUACCUAAUCAGAAAGCCACGGCUAACUACGUG